GGCUCAAUGGUCUAGUAGUAUGAUUCCUGCUUCGGGUGGAUAUCCCGCCGUUAGGCGAUAUUAUGCAGGAGGUCCCGGGUUCAAUUCCCGGUUGAGCCC